GACGAACGCUGGCGGCGUGCUUAACACAUGCAAGUCGAACGGGAUUUAGUAAACAGAAGCCUCGGUGGAAGAUUACUAAUGAGAGUGGCGAACGGGUGAGUAACGCGUGAGCAACCUGCCUAUGACAGUGGGAUAGCCUCGGGCAACCGGGAUUAAUACCGCAUAAAAUCGUAGAAACACAUGUUUUAACGGUCAAAGAUUUAUCGGUCAUAGAUGGGCUCGCGUCUGAUUAGCUAGUUGGUGAGCUAACAGACCACCAAGGCGACGAUCAGUAGCCGGUCUGAGAGGAUGAACCGCCACAUUGGAACUGAGACACGGUCCAAAAUCAUACGGGAGGGAGGAGGGGGGAAUAUUGCACAAUGGGGGAAACCCUGAUGCAGCGACGCCGGGUGAACGAAGAAGGUAUUCGUAUCGUAAAGUUCUGUACUAUGGGAAGAUAAUGACAGUACCAUAGAAGAAAGCUCCGGCUAAAUACGUG
rnacentral:rRNA from 1 species